GAUGAACGCUGGCGGCGUGCCUAAUACAUGCAAGUCGAGCGAACAGACGAGGAGCUUGCUCCUCUGACGUUAGCGGCGGACGGGUGAGUAACACGUGGAUAACCUACCUAUAAGACUGGGAUAACUUCGGGAAACCGGAGCUAAUACCGGAUAAUAUAUUGAACCGCAUGGUUCAAUAGUGAAAGACGGUUUUGCUGUCACUUAUAGAUGGAUCCGCGCCGCAUUAGCUAGUUGGUAAGGUAACGGCCUACCAAGGCGACGAUGCGUAGCCGACCUGAGAGGGGGGGACGCCCCCCUGGAACUGAGACACGGUCCCGACCCCCACGGGGGGGAGGCGUUGGGGAUUUUUCCCAAUGGGGGGAAGCCCGCACGAGCCAACCCGCGGGGGGUGAGAAGGUCUUCGGGUUGGAAAACCCUUUUUUUGGGGAAAAAAAAAAGUGGGAAAAAACCAUGCCGGUCUGGCCGGACCCAAAGAAGAAGCCCCCGCUAACCUCGGG
rnacentral:rRNA from 1 species